GUUGUUACUAAAAGAAACAAUUCCAACAUUAAUUAUUCGAACAAACAAAGUUUAAUUAAAAUGAACUCAAUUUUGAAACGUAUGCUCACUUCUGCAAAUUCAACCAGUUCAAAACUUUUAAAUCUUUUAAGCCUUGUUGCGGUAUUUCAGUGAACUCAUUGUAACCAAGGUCUAGAGACGCCAGCGAUGACGCCAUCGAACUGGAAGAGAAUUAACCAAAAUUGUUAAAUUUCUGUACCGCGAUGCAAGACAUGUGAGCAGUUCUGCAAGAGCAGAGCGGGCUACCCGUACAGGGCUCCAGUUUCUCUGGCGCCAGUGCACCCACCAAAAGGCAUGCCAACAGCACCGCCACGUGUAGCGCCCACCGCGCACUGCCAUCUCCCAACACCAUCACUAGAAACAAAUCACUAGUAAAAAAGGUUUUUCGAUAAUGUAUACAUCUGAACAAGAACAAGAUUGCUGUAGAAGAUCAACUGUGUUUACAGUUCUCCUGGUUGUAGAAUUGCUGGUUUUUUAAAUAAGUAAUAUUAAAAAAGUUAUUAUGAUAA